AUGGAAGCCAACACAAAUGAACCAACAGUACUACACCGUGACACGUAUACAAAGCACAAGUUUGCAUGUAGAACCAAACUUCCUAUAAAUAUAUCAGAUAGCAAUGGGCAGGAAGACCAACGCAGGGAUCCAGACAAAGAGAUAGAUGGCAAACCAGACGAUUUUUACAGGUUCAGACUCACUACCAGCAUUGUUUUGGGCCAAAACAAAUCUGCAACGACAUGGAAGGCAGAAGCAAAAAACCAAAAUCAAAGAUAUGAACAUGUAGCUGAAUUAAAUAAAAAUAAGAGGAUAAGAGGUUAA
rnacentral:rRNA from 1 species